UACGAAGGGGGCUAGCGUUGCUCGGAAUCACUGGGCGUAAAGCGCACGUAGGCGGAUUGUUAAGUCAGGGGUGAAAUCCUGGAGCUCAACUCCAGAACUGCCUUUGAUACUGGCGAUCUUGAGUUCGGGAGAGGUGAGUGGAACUGCGAGUGUAGAGGUGAAAUUCGUAGAUAUUCGCAAGAACACCAGUGGCGAAGGCGGCUCACUGGCCCGAUACUGACGCU
rnacentral:rRNA from 1 species